GACGAACGCUGGCGGCGUGCCUAAUACAUGCAAGUAGAACGCUAAAGAGAGGAGCUUGCUCGUCUUUGAUGAGUUGCGCACGGGUGAGUAACGCGUAGGUAACCUGCCUUGUAUCGGGGGAUAACUAUUGGAAACGAUAGCUAAUACCGCAUAACAAUGGGUUACACAUGUCAUUUUUUUGAAAGGGGCAAUUGCUCCACUACAACAUGGACCUGCGUUGUAUUAGCUAGUAGGUGAGGUAAUGGCGCACCUAGGCGACGCUACAUAGCCGACCUGAGAGGACGGGCAGCCAGCCUGGGAGUGUGACAGGGCACAGAAUCAUAGGGGAGGCAGCAGUAGGGAUACGUCGGCAAUGAGGGGAAACCUUAGCGAGAUACGCCGAGUGCGUAAAGAAGAACGUCGGAUGGGAAAGGACUGUUGUCAGGCAAGAACGGGCGUGAGAGUGGAACGUUGCCACUGUGACGGUAACUGAUAAGAAAGGGCCGGCUAACUACGUG
rnacentral:rRNA from 1 species